rnacentral:rRNA from 1 species
GACGAACGCUGGCGGCGUGCUUAACACAUGCAAGUCGAGCGGAGCGGCGAACGGGUGAGUAACGCGUGAGUAACUGCCCCCCUCUCUGGGAUAACAGUUGGAAACGGCUGCUAAUACCGGAUAGUGGGGGAUGAAUCGCGUCCUAUCGGCUUGUUGGUGGGGUUGUGGCCUACCAAGGCGACGACGGGUAGCCGGCCUGUGAGGUCGACCGGACACAUGGGGCUGAGGUACGGCCCAAACUCCUACGGGAGGCAGCAGUGGGGAAUAGUGCACAAUGGGGGAAACCCUGAUGCAGCAACGCCGCGUGCGUGAUGACGGCCUUCGGGUUGUAAACCGCGUUCAGCCAUGACGCGGUAGUGGAAGAAGAAGCACCGGCUAACUACGUGCCAGCAGCCGCGGUAAUUG